UCUUGCUUGAUACUCAUCACUGUUUUUUAAAAAUACUUCAUGGCUUGUGAGUCAUGAAACUUAACGCUAUAGUAAGAGUAAGCCAACAUAUAAAGUCAUCUUCGGAGGUCAAUAUACUGUAUGCAUUCUAUGUAAAAGAGUGUAUGGCUUUGAUUACCUUUACCACUGGUUGUUACCCUAUAGCUCCAGAUUCCCCCGCGACCCUGAAGAAGGAGUAAACGGUAGAAGAUGGAUGUAUGGAUGUAUGGAUGUUACCCUAUAACUAUAGAUCUGUAGACACAGUGCUAAUCUUUAUAAAUCACUCUUCCAGCUCGGCACACCUACAUUCCCGUGUGUGUAUCUGGCUUGCUGAUUAUUCUGGUUCUGUCUUUGGCACUUCACUACAAUCAAGUAAAAACUUGCCAUGUGUUGACAGAUUGUCUCUCAGCGUCUUCUUCGAAAGCAUCACCCAGAGGCACAGGACAUAACAGGGUCAGUGAGAGCUCAUCAGGAGACCAAAACCCAAACACUAUAAAUCUAGUCUAUGUAAAUCACGAGUCCAACCUCAACCAAUCAAAUCAAGUCUACGAGACACUACACAUUAAAGCCAUCCAGAUAGGUUCUAUAUAUGAGACUAUGUUCUCCAGUACUGACCAAUCAGAUGAACGAGGGGGGAUGAACGAGCCAGACAGAUUCAAGUAAAAGAGCUUUAUGUGCAUAACAAAAAUAAGCCUGUGGAGUGAUUAAACUUAGAAUAUUGCACUGUACAUGCACUGGAUGUAUUACAAAA